CUGGCAAGUCUGCAGCACAUCCUAAACGACUGGGCAGAUGGCCAGUUUCCUGUAGUGGACUCUCACGACUCCCCCAUUCACCUAGGUACAAUCAACAAAUCACAGCUGCGGGAGCAUCUGCAUCAGCAUAGAAAUGAGGUAAUUGAACCCAUAAUGUGCUGGGUCAUAACAAGAACUGUGCACAGUUACUGAAAGAAUGAUACAAAUAAUGAAAGAAUAAUUAAAGUAUGUAAAUUCAGAGGCUGGUUUCUCAGUGAAUGUUUUUUUUUUCUCUGUGUUCCUCUAUAUAAUGUGUGUUUGUGUGUGUUCUGUCAGGCUCAUUCCAUCAUGAGUGUCACGGGUGAGCAACGUCUGUUUAUAACGGAGAGUGGGCGGCUGUGUGGCGUCAUCACAUGGAAAGAGACCCUCCCAAAGGCGAGAUCCUCUGCACCUGCGGUGGACGCUCCGUGUCCAGCGGAGAAUGAGAAUGACUGGGGGAAUGAGACUGAGGAGGAUGAGAAGUUGCUAGAGAGCUGGUGUCAUCAGCUUCCAUGUGCAUUCCGUACAUGUGCCGAGGAACACUCAAACUCCCUCCAUCCAACAGGAACUGAGAAAGAUAAGGGCCCUCGGGGUCUGUGAAGACAUCGUCAUCAUUGUGAGAGCAGGAAUUAAAAAGACCUCAUGCACACACAUCCUCUAGGAUGAGAAUUAUAGCGUAAAUGAUUAAGCCCAUUAAAUCCAAACUCAAUAUCCCGGUCUGAUCUGCUCGAUCCAUGAGUCAUCGUGUCCCAGACACAUUCAGACAUUUCUGUUUUGCAGUCAAUUAUUUGUGUGCAAGGCUUAAAGUAAACAGGCCAUUUGUCAUUAUACUGGGCUUAUUACCACACAUGGGUUAUCAUCCCCUUGUAAUGAAAUAACAGUAUUUUUAUAGCUGGGACAGCAAGAGAUGAACCAGAUGGUCAGAGUGACCUCCCUAAGUGCUGUGCUACUUUUUCUCAAUAGAUGUAUAAAUAAAAUAUAUAUGAGAUAAUAUAAUUAAGAAUAUAUGGGAAAGGAAGUUGUGAGAGUUUCUUCAUAAAGACUUAUUUCCAUUCAAACUAGUUUAGACCUGGUCUUGCUAUCAGACCAGUAGUAAGUACAUUUCACAUGGAACAGCUAACAUUAUGAUGACUAGCAAAGCUGAUCUUUUUAGCAUUGUUACGUCUACACUCUUAUAAUGAAGGUUCUUUUCUGGCAUCUAUGGUUCCACGAAGAACCUUUCCAUAGCAAAAACGGUUCUUUAUAGUGGAAAAAAAGGUUCUUUAGAUUUUGAAAAUGUUCUUUAUGCUAAGAAACAAUAAUUGGUUAUUUUUGCAGUUCACUAAAAUGUUCUCUGGGGUACCAAAAAUAUCAAAUCUCUUGGUAAUUGCAACUUUUUUUGGGGGG